AUGAAUACCCUAGUUUGGAACUGCCGGGGGGGGCACCGGACAGUUCGUGAGGUUUUGGCCCUCGCAAAAGCCAAUAACCCCAAGCUUGUCUUUCUGUGUGAAACAAGGCAAGCUACUGUGAAAGUAGAGAAGUUGCGAUGGAGACUCAGUCUGAAAGGUUUUCAUGGAGUGAGUAGUGAUGGAAGAAGUGGGGGCUUAGCACUUUUCUGGGAUGAGUCCCUCUCUCUCUCACAGUGA
rnacentral:rRNA from 1 species